AACACUGAAGAUAUUGAAGUGCCCAGAGUUCUCUCGAAUGAAAAAUAAAAGAGUAGUAGACCGGAUGGACUCACAAAGUAGGAUCAGGCUUAGCCUACUAGAAACAGAGGAGAGCGAGAAUUAAGUCGAAGCAGAGAGAGCAGUUUAUGAGCAUUUUAAGGCCUUCUGCAAUUAGUUAACUGAAGGAACAUCAGCCGACAUAACUGUAUCGAUUGCAGCAUAGUCGACAGCAAAGCGUGGUGUAUGUUGACAGAGUCAUUGAAUCCUCUUCUGCCCAAUUUCUUCCUUUUCCUUGAAGCAGUUCAUCUUCGCAAAGUUUAUGGCAUUUUCAGAAAGGUGCAAAUUAAACAUCGCACAUCUGCUAGAAAAUGGCAUGCAUUUCUUCAGAGGGAGGUUAGUCCCCCAAGCCAUAAGUACUAAUGAAUGUACCGUCUAUAGACACCACAUUCUCAACAACAUGUCAAAUUCUCGACUCCUAGCUUAGCAGUCCUAAUUAAUUUCAAAUCUCAAGAUGACAUGUCAAGUUCGAUGCUACUCCCUCCGUUCCAAAUUGUUGGUCGUUUUAGAUUUUCUAGAUUCAUAGAUAUUAUUAUGCAUCUAAAUAUAGUAUGUACAAUUUGGAUGCAUAAUAAUAUCUAUGAACCUAGAAAAGUCAAAAUGACGUACAAUUUGAAACGGGGGGAGUACAUAGAUGUACAUGCAGCCCGUAGCCCGAUAGCCCGGCACGAAGCCCUUUUUUUGACCCGCACAUAGCCCGGCCCGGCCCAUCACCCUUCGGGCUCGUGCUGGCCCGGCCCGCUAGCUCGUGUCGGGCAUGGGCUGCUGCCUCGGCCCGACGGGCAGCACGGCCCGGCACGAAAUCGAGCAUUCGGCCCGUUGCCGCCCUGUCAAGCCAGCCAACCCUAUCUCCCAAUCUCCCGACUCCCGAUCUCUAUCGCCUCCCAGUAGUCCACCACGCCGCCGCCAUCUCCCUAGUCCCUAUCGCCUCCCCGGCUCCCCUCCGACCUCCCCUCCACUUGCUCCGACUGCCGCCUCCCUCUCUAUUGCCAUCUCCGGCGGGCGACGCUCCCUCCCUCCCUCCCUCCCUCACGGCCUCCUCCAGCGCCGCCUCCCUCCCUUAUGACCUCCACCGCCGUCGGCGCCGCCUCCUCCCUCUCGGCCUCCUCCACCGCCGCGGUGGCGCGGGGAGUGGGAGCGGCGGUGUGGAGGUCCGACGGUGUCGCGGGGCGGCUGCGGGGUGCGGCAGCGACGACAACGACGAGGGGGCUGGCUGCGGGGUGCGGCGGCGACGACAACGACGAGAGGGCCGGCCGCGGCGCGGGCAGCGGAAGAAGCGGCGACGCAGGGGGCCGGCGUCGGGGAGGUCCGGCGGUGGUGCAGGGGGCCGGCUGCAAGGAGCGGCGACGACGGCGGCGAGGGGUCCGACAGCGGCCUGCGGCUGCGGGGAGCGGCAGCAGCGUGGGGGCCCGUGUGCCUUGUUGGGCCCGAUUUCAGCCGUGCUCUACGGGUCGGCCCGGCACGAAAAAGGCCUUUCGAGCCCGUGCUUGGGUCGCCGGUGAGGCCCGUGGGCGGGCACGGCCCGGCACAAUGAAGUCAUCAUGACGGGCCAGGCCCGGCACAAAAUUUAACGGGUCUUGUCGGGCCCGGGCCGAACUGGGCCGGGCGGCCCGAAUGGACAUCUAUAGGGAGUAUACGUCUCCUGUGUUUGUUUCAGGCAACUCCCAGGAUUAGCAAGCAAGAUGCGAGGCAGAUACUUGCUACUAGCUGGUCGUGGUUCACUGGGAAACAUUAUAAUUCAUCUACUCCAUAACAGUAGGGAACUCUUGCAGUUUGGUUUAGGAAAAUUUAGUCCAACUGAAGUUCAUAUUGCUAGAAUUGACCAAAACCAUAGACAGCUUCCCACUCCAGUUCAAUCUGUUUCAGACUUUAAUCCUUAGUUAUUUACAGAGUGGGCGUACAAAUCGCUUGCCAAAGUUACUGUAUUUAAGCAGUGCUGUCUGCUGCCAAGGUCACAAAAGGAGAUCAUACAUGACAGUGUUUCUUCAAAACCCUGACCCAUUGGUGGGAGAUCAUAUACACGGAUCUUAAGCAGUGCUGUCUGCUGCCAAAGAAAUCUGACUAGAUAAAUAUCAGCAGGUAUGUACACCAUCUUAGAUUCUUAGUGUACUUCAUCAGAUUGGAUGCCAUCUGAUCCAAGAACUAUUAUACAGGCGUUCAGAGUACUUUACAGAAGCAGUCAACAGAUUGGUUGUUCAGGAUCCAAAUGCUCUUCUCUUCCAUUCCCGGAGAAAGCUAAUCUAAUCUAAACUCUACUAAACUCUACCAAGUUAGCUACAGCAUGUGAGUGGUUAAGUGGUUUCUU
rnacentral:lncRNA from 1 species